rnacentral:misc_RNA from 1 species
GUUAUAAGUUGCAUACACCUAACACAGGAUAAACAUAAGAGAACCUACUAUAAUUCAAAAUUUGGAGGAGCUUUGGAGUUGAUGCACGAGAUACACAGUUCGCUACCAUGUAGAAAAGUAAACAAAAUGAAUCAACAGUUACUUUACACAUUCACUAAGAGCACCUCCAUGCUUACCCUUUUCCACUAAUUUACAAAGUCCUCUUUUUUGAUGAUGAGACAUCCUGCUUUGAAUCUCUUUUCCUUUUCUUUACCUGUUUCUUGAAUGAUUUUCCAACAACAGAUGGCUGCUGCUUCAAUGCAAAACUCUUUGCUACAUGCCCCAAAUGAAGUUUCUUCACCACAAAAAUUCUUUUCAACUCACCACGAUGAGCAGUAUAUGCACGAACCCAAGAGCAAAAUGCUUUCUGGGCCAGCUUCAUCAUUCUUGGCUCAGCUGCAAUGAACGAUUCGACAGCCCUCUGCAAGCACAUGAUCCAGGAAUGUGACUCUAGAGAGACAAAAUUCUCUACAAAUUGCUUCCUUCCACGAACUGGAAAACUAUCCAACACCUUGACAAGAGGAUAUUCAGCAAGAGAUACACCAUGGUUCUGCAAAUCUUGCAAAUAAUCUGUUUCAGUUGGCUGUAGGAAUAACAAUGAAUCUCCUCUUUCACCUAAGCGAGCAGUUCUUCCAACCCUAUGCACAUACUCAAUUGCUU